rnacentral:rRNA from 1 species
UACGUAGGGUGCGAGCGUUAUCCGGAAUCAUUGGGCGUAAAGAGCUCGUAGGUGGUUUGUCGCGUCGUCUGUGAAAUUCCGGGGCUUAACUUCGGGCGUGCAGGCGAUACGGGCAAUACUUGAGUGCUGUAGGGGAGACUGGAAUUCCUGGUGUAGCGGUGGAAUGCGCAGAUAUCAGGAGGAACACCGAUGGCGAAGGCAGGUCUCUGGGCAGUAACUGACGCUGAGGAGCGAAAGCAUGGGUAGCGAACAGGAUUA